GAUGAACGCUGGCGGCGUGCCUAAUACAUGCAAGUCGAGCGAACGGACGAGAAGCUUGCUUCUCUGAUGUUAGCGGCGGACGGGUGAGUAACACGUGGAUAACCUACCUAUAAGACUGGGAUAACUUCGGGAAACCGGAGCUAAUACCGGAUGAUAUUUUGAACCGCAUGGUUCAAAAGUGAAAGACGGUCUUGCUGUCACUUAUAGAUGGAUCCGCGCUGCAUUAGCUAGUUGGUAAGGUAACGGCUUACCAAGGCAACGAUGCAUAGCCGACCUGAGAGGGUGAUCGGCCACACGGGAACUGAGACACGGUCCAGACUCCUACGGGAGGCAGCAGUAGGGAAUCUUCCGCAAUGGGCGAAAGCCUGACGGAGCAACGCCGCGUGAGUGAUGAAGGUCUUCGGAUCGUAAAACUCUGUUAUUAAGGAAGGACAGAUGUGUAAGUAACUGUGCACAUCGUGACGGUACCUAAUCAGAAAGCCACGGCUAACUACGUG
rnacentral:rRNA from 1 species